rnacentral:lncRNA from 1 species
UAGAUAAUAAAUGAGAUAAAAUUAUUUGUUUGAGAUCAGAACACUACGAACAAAAAAUUACAAGAAAUCAUUGGCAUAGAUAUAAACAGUGCACUCCUUUCUACUAUUACGGACACACUUCUACUUACUAAUCCUCUACCUUCAUUCGCAUUCUCCACACCUUCUUAUUAAGGGUCAUGUCCUCCGUAAGUUGUAGCCGCUCCAUGUCAUGUCUAAUCACCUCCCUCCAAUAUUUCUUCGGCCUAUCCCCAUCCCGCCUACAACCAUCAAAAGCCAGCCUGCCUGUCACACCUCCAUACUAAAGCAUCCGUGCAUCUCCUCAUCAAAUAUUUGAAUUAUAGCAAUUUCACUUUCUGCAUCUUAUCUUCCAUCGAAGCCACUCCAACCAAAGCCACUUCAAACAAAUUAAUUUUAUACAAUGAAGUCACAUAGUCAUAAUGCAUAAAUAAUUGUUGUUGUAUGUUUUAUUGACAGCGCAAAUCUUAAUAGUUAAUCAGUUUCAAUAAUCAAGUGAUUAUUUUUACGAGUUUGUAUGAUCGUACAUACAAACUAAUUGCCUUGAAAUUUUAAUUUGAAAUGCAUAAAUCAUUUAGUACAGUAAUAUAACUUAAACAAUUAAAAUUUUCAUAUUAUUAACGUUUAUAUAGUGUAGGGUGUUUACUAAAAAAGACAAUAUACAUAUUCAAACAACAGCAACUUUUAAAAAAUAAACAUAUCCAACCGAAAAUAUUUUUUUAUGUCAUAAAUUAUCAUCAUUUACUAAAAGAUAUGACAUAAAAGAAUAAUAAAAGCAUGCAAAAAACUUUAUAAGAGUCUAACAAGUCUGAAUUUGCCAUGAUAUGAAGAAACAAAGAAAUUAUAAUAUUUAUGUUAAAAGAACAUUUUAACGCACUAAAAAAAAUUCCAUAAAAGAAUGAAUGACAUAGUAAAAACAUUUUUAAAAAAAUCUAUUAAGUACAUAAUCCUUAUUAGGAAAAAUAUUUAAUAUGUAAUUAUAAUAUUAUAGAUUUGCAAUGAUAGAAAAAUAUAAAUAAAGAAAUCUAAUUAAUAUUAUGAGUUGGUCAAAAUUCUUCUGAAAAAGGAAUUAACAUAAAUUUCUUAUUUAUUAUCCAUGUUCAUUUUUGGUUAGUUACCCCAAAAAGGUGAUAAUUUUAUGACUAUGAAUACAUUGGUGUGAUAAUUUUGGUUAGUUACCAAAUAAAUGUGAGAAUUUUAUCACUAUAAAUACACUCAAAAUGUUGAGUGUUGAAACCCAACAUUACAUUUUGAGUCGAAUCAUGAUAAACUCUACUGACCGCAAACCAGUUAUCCCUAAGAAGACAUUGCGUUCGCAGGCGAAUGAACUCACUCGCAACCAUAUGUGGUGGUGAAAUGGACAUUGUAAUUCUUUCUCCUGACAACAAUAUCAUCUAUUCAACUGAAAACUCAUCUGUCACUUCAGUUGUGGAUCGAUUUCUCGAGGUGAAUCCUUCACCCAUCUCCCAGCCCCGUCAAAAUGUUAAAACCCAUUUUGAGAGG